AGGACUUCAGACAGAGGAAAAUCAAGGGCUAAAGCAGAAAAAUGUUGCAACAUAGGAAAGACUCCCUUUGCAUGAUGUGCCUGCUACCAACUAUGACAGAUGACAGUCACGGGAGCCACCACCAAAGGGUCCAUGUAUGCUGUCUCACUUUGCAUUUAAUAAUACCCACCUUUACAAAGAAAGGCAAGUAUAUCAGCCCUGUGCUGGAUGUUGAGUCCAAGUGCACAGGUCACAGACCUUGCAUCUGUUUGCAGUGUACAUGGGAUUUUUAUGAUAUCUGUUGAUAAUAAUUUUAUUCAAAUAUGCUUAUUCUCAUGGUCAUAUCAGGAGACUUCUUCAAGAAAAUCGAUCUUUAAAACAUAUAGGCUUAAAUCGUAUUUUAAAAUAUUAUAUUUCAUUUGGCUUUACUUAUUUUGAAAGCUAUUUUAAUGAUACAAAUACCAUACAGUGUAUGUUUGUCAUAUAAAUUUCAAAUAAUGUAAAACCUAAAGUCAACCUUUACUUACUCCCCAAUAUCCAGAAUAAGAAUGUGGGUACUUUUGGAAAUGAUUCUUUCAGAAUUUUACAGUGAUCUACAUCUACAAAAAGAAAGGUGUAGAAAUACUCUUGACUAUGUAUGUAACAUGUAUGUUAUAUAUGUAUGUGUAUAAAUUUACAUAUAUACUGUGCAGUUGUUUUAUUGUAACAAUAAAAUCGUAGGUUACUGUUUUAUAGCUUGCCAUUUUCAAGUUUCUGAGCCAGUAAGUCUACCCUUCUUAACUGUUAAUGUAUGGAUAACUGUUACUGUAUGGAUAGCUGUUAAUGUAUGGAUAGCUGUACAAUGGGUUAUUUACAUGUUCCUUUUUCAUUCUUAUGUCAAAAUAUUUGCUUUGAUACAUUGUAUCUUACUACAUUCUUUUUAAAAAAAUAAUUAUUUAUUUUAUGCAUAUGAGUACACUGUAGCUGUCUUCAGACACAUCAGAAAAGAGAAUUGGAUCCCAUUACAGAUGGUCGUGAGCCACCAUGUGAUUGCUGGGAAUUGAGCUCAGGACCUCUGGAAGAAGUCUUAACCAUUGAGCCAUCUCUCCAGCCCCUUCUUACUACAUUCUUACUACAGUAUAUAUAUUUUAAUAUCUUUCUGUUAUGUUUUUGAAACAGAGACAAACCUCGUCAAAUCAUUUGUCUAGUAACCUAUGUCUACAUUACUAUGGCUUAGGAAGGUCUCUCUCCCAGCCCUCUCCCCUCCCCCGUGUUGGACAGAAAAAACGUGAUUACUCUGAGAAAUUACAGAUAAGACUAUACAAAACAAUGUAUCUAAAAUUUCAAGGAAAAAAAGUAGCAUUUCCCUUUGCAAUGAAUAAUGCUUCAUAUCCUUGUUAACACAUUAAAAACCACCACCAG
rnacentral:lncRNA from 1 species